rnacentral:rRNA from 1 species
AACGAACGCUGGCGGCAUGCCUAACACAUGCAAGUCGAACGAACCCUUCGGGGUGAGUGGCGCACGGGUGCGUAACGCGUGGGAACCUGCCCUUAGGUUCGGAACAACUCAGAGAAAUUUGAGCUAAUACCGGAUAAUGUCUUCGGACCAAAGAUUUAUCGCCUUUGGAUGGGCCCGCGUUGGAUUAGCUAGUUGGUGGGGUAAAGGCCUACCAAGGCGACGAUCCAUAGCUGGUCUUAGAGGAUGAUCAGCCACACUGGGACUGAGACACGGCCCAGACUCCUACGGGAGGCAGCAGUGGGGAAUAUUGGACAAUGGGCGAAAGCCUGAUCCAGCAAUGCCGCGUGAGUGAUGAAGGCCUUAGGGUUGUAAAGCUCUUUUACCCGGGAUGAUAAUGACAGUACCGGGAGAAUAAGCUCCGGCUAACUCCGUGCCAGCCGCCGCGGUAACAC